AACGAACGCUGGCGGCGUGGAUAAGACAUGCAAGUCGAACGAGAGUUUGUUUAUAGCAAUAUGAGCGAACUUUAGUGGCGAAAGGGUGCGUAACACGUGGCUAUCUACCUCGAAGUGGGGGAUAUCUCCGAGAAAUCGGAGUUAAUACCGCAUGUGACCGCAAGGUCAAAGCUGGGGAUCGUAAGACCUGGCGCUUUGAGAUGAGGCUGCGGCCUAUCAGGUAGUGGCGGGGUAAUGGCCCACCAAGCCUAAGACGGGUAGCUGGUCUGAGAGGACGACCAGCCACACUGGAACUGAGACACGGUCCAGACACCUACGGGUGGCAGCAGUCGAGGAUUUUUCUCAAUGGGGGGAAACCCUGAAGGAGCGACGCCGCGUGAGGGAUGAAGGUCUUCGGAUUGUAAACCUCUGUCAUCU
rnacentral:rRNA from 1 species